UACGUAGGGUGCAAGCGUUGUCCGGAAUUAUUGGGCGUAAAGAGCUCGUAGGCGGCUUGUCGCGUCGGCUGUGAAAACCUGGGGCUCAACCCCGGGCCUGCAGCCGAUACGGGCAAGCUAGAAUUCGGUAGGGGAGACUGGAAUUCCUGGUGUAGCGGUGAAAUGCGCAGAUAUCAGGAGGAACACCGGUGGCGAAGGCGGGUCGCUGGGCCGAUAUUGACGCUGAGGAGCGAAAGCGUGGGAGCGAACAGG
rnacentral:rRNA from 1 species